rnacentral:tRNA from 1 species
AGGGAUGUGGCGGAAUUGGUAGACGCAGUGGACUUAAAAUCCACCGCCAUGCGUGGCUUGGGGGUUCAAGUCCCCCCAUCCCUA